rnacentral:lncRNA from 1 species
UCUACUUUGGGUUAGUUUUACUUGGCUAUUGCACAUUAACUGCGGCCAAUACAGUUAACUUAGUUGCAUCAAUGAUGCUAUUUCCAAGAUUUCCUCA